AGUGUUCAUGGACGUUCGGAUUUGGAGUUAUUACAAAUCAGACUUUCAAAUGUUUAUUUAUUAUUUUUAAAUGUUUAUUAUUUCUUUUAUGUGUAUGGUUGUUUUUGUCUGCCUGUAUGUCCUGCACCAUGUGUACCUGAUGGCCUAAAAGACCAUAAAAAGACUCCGGAUGCCCUAGGACUAGAGUUACAGAUGGUUGUGUCACAUGGGUGCUAGGAACAGAAACUGGGUCAUCUACAAAAGCAAACUGUGUUCUUAACCCACCUCUCCUUCUCUCAAACCCUUAUGUAUUGAGACGGGAUCUCACAGGCUGAUCUCAGCUCCAAAUGUAACCAAGGAUGACCUUGACUCCUGAUUCUCCUUCUACUUCCUCAGAAUUGGGAUUACAGGCAUGUGUCACCCCACUGUGCUACAAAGUGAGACUUUUAUAGACAGUCAUAUACAUGUCUUCAUAUGGACAUGCACUUUUGUUUCUCUUUUAUAAAUGUAUAUAUAGUAGCAGGCCUGGGGCAUAGGGAAAGUGCUGGUUUAAGAAGUUGCUAAAUAGGGGCUCACAGAGAUGGCCCUGCAGCUGAGAGUGCUUCUUGCUCUUCCCUGGGACCUGAGUUUGGUCCCCAAGCUCUCAAGUAUGGUGAAUCCCUGUUGCUUCUAAUGCCAGUAUCAGGAAAAUCUGGUCAGCUAGGGCAGCUGUACUCACAUGAGCAUUCACACACACACACACACACACACACACACACACACACACACACACACACACACACACACACACACACACACAGUCACACAGACAGGCUCCUAAAAAUAAGUCUUUAAAAAAAAACUUUUAAAAGGUGUCAAGUGUUUCCUAAUCUGUCAGGCCAUCUCACGUUCCUCUGGUAGGUUACUCUAGCUUACCUGCCCCGAAUCUUUCUCGGUAUUUAACACGACCAGUUGUGGAUAUUUAACAGGAAUCUCUGUGAUAUUUCCCAGAAAAAUAGCCGGGCUUUCUUACUUAUUGCCAACAUAGACCGUCUCUCUGGAGAAACCUUGGUGCACAUAUAUUUUCUGUGGUGCUCUGUCUGUCUCCUUUGCAUUGCUCACUGCCAAGUUCUUGCAUGGUUUGGGGACUUAGACUUGACAAGAAUGGUGAAGGAUGGAAGACAGACAGAUGGGCACAUGGACAGAAAGCUGUGAUAAUGUGGUCCAGACUCACUGCUGGAGAAACCUCAGCACCCUGGAAGCUCAGUGUGUUCAGUAUAGAGUUGAAGAGAGGCAGGGUGACUGCAUUCAGCUGAACAAGGACUGGGCUAUUGUACACAGAUCAAGGUAGCAUGGUUUCUGGGUCAUGGCUGUAUCAAGCAGACAGGUUUAGCUAGUCUUGGUAGGAGUACUCUCUGUAGGGGAGCAGUCUUCCGGCUACAAAUAUCCAGGGCAGAACAUUAUGGUGGACGUUUUCUGAGCAAUUCUUUUUCUCCAUGCCCACCAAAAGGCUGGUUAGUGACCAUUUCACUGACAGGAGUGAGUUCCAGUCAGGACCUGUCUCUGAUUAUGGCUCUCUAGAGUGGGAAGGUCAGAGCCAUAAGCUUCUUCUCAGAACUGUGACAGACAGAUCCCCUCCACCUAGUGAACACUGAAUUACAGCCUGCAGUCCUCCACACCUGCAGGCCCUCCCUUCUGCUUCAAAUAGAUCUUAAAACAGCAAGAUAAGAGGAACAGCCAGCUGCAUCUAAUGCUUAAACAUUCUAGGUCAUUUUCUGUCUCUGAUGACAUUUCACUUGACCGUAGCACUGCACUUUUUAUUUGUAUGGUGCUCAUGUGCGAUAGUCAACUGGUCAACAUCAAUAGCACAAGAAAUCUGAAUGGAGGAAAAUGUUAAUGAGUUAACUCCUGCAUUAAUAUCCUAUAGGAUGGUAUAUAGGGAGUUUCUUCAUCAAUGACUACUAUGGGAGCAUGGUGUCCCAUCUGGAGAUGUGCCAAUAGAAGGCAUCAUUAUCUGAGCAGGAAAGUCAGGUCAGCAUGCCAGUCAGCAGCUCUCCUCUGCCACUCUGCCAGCUCUCUUUCACUCCCUGCCUACAGGAUCAUGCCUCGUCUGAGUUUCUGCCUUGACUUCUCGUCAUAGAUGGACAAUGGUCAGGAAAUAGGAGCCACAUUAAAUCUUGACAAUGGUCAGGAUAUAGGAGCCACAUUAAAUCAUUUGUGCUCCUUGUUGCUUUUGGUCAUAGUGUCUGUCAAAUCAAUGCAAAGUAACUUAUGCCAGACACACAUUUUUGUACACUGGUCCACAUCAGGCAGUGGUUGUUUUGUGGCAGAGCAAGAAGGAAGGGAGGCUGAUAGACCCUCCCCCCACUUUUAGAAAGGGUAUUGUUGGGCAGAACCUUGGGGGAUGGGCAAGCCUAACUGUCAGAAACUGUAGUUUAACUUACAUUGCCUACUUUACUGCCAGAGAUGAGGUACUCAGAUACUCUGCCUUUAUCUCCACAAGAGGUUUCUCACUUUGGAGCAUGGAGGUCCCAAGUCAGGGUUUCUCUGUGUAGCCCUGACUAUCCUGGAAUUCCCUCAGUACACCAGGCUGGCAAGUAACUCAUGGAUCCACCUGCCUAUGUUGCUGGAAGUAAAGGUGUGCACCUCCACCACAAGGCUUCCUCAAGGCAUUUGCAAUCAUUCAACUACCAAAUGUGGAGGGUCUAGUGACCAUCCCCAGGCACCAGGCACAGGGAUAGCAGCUAAUGGGAAGCAGGCCCAGUAGCCCAAGGGAACAAAGUUCAGAGGGGCAGGAGGAAUACAUUUAGACACUCUACACAGCGGGGUGAUGGUCUUUCUACAGCAAUCUCCCCUAAGGUGUUCAGAGCAAAGGAUUCUUUUGCCCGUAGCACAUUAAAUAGGCAGCACAGAUAGCCAUAACCCCCUUGGUUUGAGGGAAGUGGGAAGGGAAUCAGCCAUGUUUGGAUUCCUUUUGGAGUUAAAUCCUAAAAGCACAGAUAGACAUAACCCCCUUGGUUUGAGGGAAGUGGGAAGGGAAUCAACCAUGUUUGGAUUCUUUUUGGAGUUAAAUCCUAAUGGCUCCAUAUUCUGUGUGCAGGCCCCAGCCUAUUGGCCUCCACAGUUGAACAGUGAAGAGGCAGGAAGGACUGAGGCUGCAGUUGACCUGGCCCAUGAUGAAGGUCCUGCACUGGAUAACAGUCACUGAGAAUAACUUGGGAAGGAAUAUGAAGGUGUCCUGAGGAGGCAGAUCUAGGAGUGCACUUGACCUUUCUAGAAGGCCGUCAACAAAACUGAAACAGGACUCUGAAGACAUUCCUGUCUCCUAUGAUUUAGAUGAUGGAAACUGAGUGUACCAAAUAAUGAAAUUUCACUAGGAGCCUGGACAGAAGGUGGCCUCUAUGCCAGGUGUCAACACGCCAGUCACAGACAACACACAGGGGAAACAACAUCAGGCCUUUGGCAUCAGACACUAGAAAGUACUGCUGUAAGGUCUAGUGAAAGAACGCUAGAAUAGGUGUACUGUCCUAUCGUCCAGAAUUACAGGUGUGAGUGAGACAUUUAUAGUGACCAUAGUUUUAGUUGCUGCAUAGCUCCAUGGCUCUGAGAAUGUGAUACCUCUGUCCAAGGGAGGACUGACCUAGCUGAAUCCAACAGCGAACACACUCUGCUGUAUGGGAGGCCAUAUGCAAGCACAGACCUAGGACAAUUACACUGACCUCAGAGGGUUAGGGAAAGAUAGCACAGUCCUCAGGACAGCAGGAUCAACAUACCUCCAGGUACAAGGAAGACAUUUAGGAUGUCUGUUCUGUGAAUAUGAAUUUGAUGCUGGCGUCUUGGUAGUCCUUAAUAAAACUAAAAUUCUGUCUUAUUUGGCCCUCUCCAAGUAUCCAGAACUGCCUUUUUCCUGUACCAUGCAUGGGUCAUAAAAAUCCACCCUUCCUGGAGGCAGAGGCUUACAACCAGACCCCAAAAAUGUGUGAAACCUUCUGGGGGCUGUGAUGCUGGUGGUAUCCUAAGUCUGCUGGGCCUAUAGAGGCAGGGAGGAGUAUCUCAAGAAAUGAGAGGAAGGUGGGUUUUCCUAAUGGGCUUUUGCUUCCAAAGAAUGUGGUGAGGAUCUGUUACAUCUAAAGAGAAAUAGGUUUCUCAUCAUGAGUUCCAUGAUAGGUUUCUCCGUCAGGAGAACAAUUAAUCAUCAAGGCAGGAUGCUUCCCAUUUGGAAGAAGAGAGAGAGAAAGACUUUAAACAUCCUCUGGGACUUCUCCUAUAACUUUCCAAAAGUACUUUCUAUAAAGGGAUAUGGCAAUGCCACUGAAGGAAUGAGAGAGCACUGACUUAGGGUCAGACCUCCAGUUCAUCAUAUGUCCCACAGCAAAAAUUCAUUCAUUCAUUCAUUCAGUUAGUCAUUCUCUUCCUGUUUCUCUCACACCUUUGUCCUUCCCUCUUCACUGAAGUAAAAUGUGCCUACAAUGUCCCUAGUGUCCCCUACCCACGAACCAGUUUUCCAAAUAACACAGUUUGUGCUUUCAGCCUACAAUAGCAGGAUUCUUUUGGAUUUAGUUCUUUGACCUCAAUUCUGUGUGUCAUGGCAGUCACAGAAACGUUGGCAGACUGCUGCCUCCCAGAGCACCCAACUGACAUGCAGUAUAUUUACUUCUUCUGCACUUGGGUGGUCAUGGGUUUGUUUCUUUUGUUGGGAUCCCUAUUCUACAGUUGUGCAUUGUUUCUCCUAAUCAACUCCAAAAUCCAGAUGAUCCUGUUUAAGUGAGCCAUAGACAUCAUUAUAUUCACUAAGGUCCUGUUGCGCUAUACAAAGACCCUGGAAGAAUAGCUAAGUGAGUCUUCACAUAUUACUGAGAACUUGAGAGCUUGGAAUAGCUGGGACGCCUCAGGAAAGCAGCCAAGAAUUUCUUGCAGAUUGCCCUCUCUAGACAUGAGGAGACUCAAGCUGUAUUGCAAGGGCAGAAGAGCACGGCCUCCUUGUGGACACCUAGGAAGAUACCAAGGUCAAAGAUCCCACUAUACUCAGGGUGUGCCCAAGAGUAGUGAUAUUAGUCCCUGAGAAUCCUUUGACAUGGGUCCAGGUUUAGCCCUCAUAGAGGAUGACAUAGGGACACUCAGGAAGAAGUACAGGGUUACACUGAAAAUAAAGGGAGGAAGCCUGCCCCGAAAUGCUGUCUCUUAGCACUUGUAGGACAAGAGGGAGGAGGGAUUACUUAGAGUCAGUGAGUGUUUAGGACUGAGCUGGGCACUUCAACUUCUGGGUUUGAGUAUAAAUACAGAUACUCAGAGACAUUCUCUGACUUUUAUGUUAAUAGUCCACCAUAACGAGUUCAGUGACAUUGCCCUACGAAUUCCACAGGAGGAAAAGCAAGCAUUUUUGAAGAGCAAUGUACAUUCUAAGGAGUGCAGGUUCAAAUCAGUAUCUGGGUAGAGGUCACACAACAAAUGAGAUUUCUGUGUCUCCUCUUUCAGCAGCCUGCUGCCACCUUUGAUCUCCUGAAUCAAUUAUUCCUCCCAUUGCAUCUUCGCAAUUCUUUUUUAAAGACUACACAUUGUUUCCAGACAAAUCUCUGUUUCAUAUUGUCCACUGCGUCCAGUAGACUGCUUCAUACUCCAGCAUGAAAUGGAUGUAAUUUGAAAUGCUAUCUUAAUCAGUUGUGACGAGUGAUAUGCCUAGGAUAUAAGCCUGGGAAUAUUGGCAUUUCAUAGAGAAUAUGUACUUUUCCCUCUCCAGAGUCUGACUUAUGUCCACAAUAGAAAUCACUUUGUCUGUGGUAGGCUAGUUUUGUAGACUCAAGCAUUAUUUUUUUUUCUCUAAAGGACUGCUUGCUUCUGAGUGUGGAUGGGGUUUGUUCAGGCCUCUUUUUCCUUUUAUGUGUCCUGGGCUUACAUCCUCAGGUUUUCUCCUUGGACCAGAGGAAAAUGCAUUUGCAAUUAGUACUCAUCAGGUGACACAUGAGCCGAUGCCCAGGGACAUCCAUCCCUGAACUACAGAGGCUGUCCUUCUCUUGCUUUUCAUAUGACGGGGGCUUCAUUCUAUCAGCACUUCAGUGCAUGCUAAACUCACAAGCUACAGACAGGAGGCCUGUCUCUAAACACAAUUCCUAGGUGUGAAACGGUUUGCCAUUUCAAUCUUUGGAAGAAUCAAGAUGGAACUCUUUUGAACUGCAAGAGGUAAAACAACCCCGAGAGUCCUGCCUUCAUUCUAUCCUCUGCAGUUUGCAAAUAGAUUGCAAGCACCUUAUUACCAAAAUGGCAAGGGAUCUGCUCCUGAACUUUGCUGCAGCUCGCAUAAAGGACAGCCACAGAGUGACACUGGGAAGCCUCACUGUAUCUGGGGCUCUCAUUCAUGGGACAGCAGAAGAAAAUGUUAAGCAUGGAGACAGUUUCCCCCAUGACAUUUCUUCAGAUAGGUGUGGUUCUAAACACAGCAGCCUGAACAGGCAUGAACAGAAUCAGUGCUUCUUAAAUUAUUGGGAAAAAUUGAAGGAAAAGGAAUUUUGAGGAUAGAAAAAUAUAUGGCCAUGGACCAAGUCUUUGUGAAGGCCUUCAGCCAAGCCCACAUUUAUGGCAUGAUCCAGUAGUAUUAAGUAUGUCUUCAUUAUUUUCUCAUACUGUCACUUCUGCACAUAUGAUAUGUGUGUAAUAGAAGUCACAGCACAUGGAGGGCUGAGGUGAUUUGGCCUGCAUAGUUCUCACUUGGAAUAGUCUGUGACUUUUCCUCACUCAUCUUUGGUUUCUCAAUAUCUUCUAGCAGAGGCCUCUCUGGGGCAACUGGUCAAAAAUUGGUACAUGAGGGGGUUUAUCUGGCAAGGUAAGGGACAUGGAACUUUGUGGGUUCCUGUUAGGAUGUUGUCCUGCAGCUCACCCUGUGUGUUCCCUAUACAGAGGAUGUGCCCUGUUCUCUUAUCCCAGACAGCUUCCUGCCCAGACUGCACUCAACAUUACCAUUGCAUGACUCCCUCAGGACAAGGUCUGGGGACCAAAAGGGUUCAGGUUCACAAGUUACGGCUCUAGCCUUUGAGAAGAACAAAGUCAAACACUUGAUGCUGCUGUCUGCAUAAGCAGCUGGUUUGGGCUUUGUUUGGGGGUUGGGGGUAGUAUUGAAUGCCACUGCGGUCUCUUCAGAUAGUUUCUGUUCCCUUUCUUCACACAGUUAGCAAGGUUCUUCUGCCAGGAUUAAUAUUCAGUUACUUUUCUUUAAGAAAACAGAUGUUCUCAUGGCACAACCCUUGAAAGUUGAAUUCAGAUGCUGGAGAACAUCAAUAUCAAAACAAUGUAGUAAGAAGCUUCUCUGUGCCUUCCUUGCCACUAUAUGCUUUUCAGGUCCCUGCAAGGCCAUGGUAGGAUAAUUUACAGAGUCAAGCCUUCACAGCUAUACAGGAAAGCAGCAUGUACUGAAUGCCCAGGUUCUUCUUUCUGAAGAGAUUGGCCAUUAAUUGAGGUUGAGAAUUUUCCUUGACCUCUGCUGAGAUAUACAGGAAAAAUCCCACCAUAUGGAGGUGAAAUUGAGACAAGAUAGGUACAUAAGAGUCAUUUCGUUUUACAGGGGAAAAAAACCACAUCUCCCUGGACUAUAGGAACCAAACCCCAGUCCAAAGCACAAACAUAACCACACGGUGUUUUCCUUUUUUUUCACUUAUACUUCCCUCAUGAAUGAUCCAUGAGAACAGGACCUGGAGAGGUGGAGAGUGUCCCUCUCAAUACCUCAGCACAGUGCCUGUCUUGACUGUUGCCUUCAGAGCCUUUUUCUUCCUAGUGACAAUGAUCAGCACCUAUGUAGGAGAUUGAAUUAGGUUGGUCCCCCUAGGGUCACGUGCUUCAAUACAAUUCCUAGUUGGGACAACAGUUUAGGAAGAAUUAGGCAGUAUAGUCUGGGGAAGAGCAGUGUCCCUGGGGCUGGGUUUACAGGUCUCAAAGCCCAGGCCAUUCCAAUUGAUUCUAUCUCUGCCUCCCACUUGUGAUCCAAGUGAGCUCUCAGCUGUUCUGUUCACAAUGGUUUUGAUGAUACCAGUAGAUACUCAACUUGUAAAUGAGUUUAAAGCACACAUUCACUUUUAUACGUUUGCUGCCGGGGUCCUGGUGUCUUUUUGCAGCGAAUGUAAGGAACAUGCAGACCUUAGUAGCUAUUGCUUUAGUGGAUCCAAUGCACUGAAAUUUACUUGUUCAAAAGUCAAAGCCAGUGGAUAUUUUAGUGCUCUUUGCUGUCGAGUCAUUAAUAUAUAUUUGUGAAUGCUAAAGGCAUGUUAUUGAAGGGAAGGGCGAUCCACUGUCCUGGACACUUGGAGUACUUAUAAAUCUCAACCAUUACAAACAUGAGCGGUGAUCCUGCUAUCAGAGGCUUCAGAAAUGCAGCUUAUCCAAGCUGAAGCCAGUGCUGGCUGAAGCAAAUAGAGAACAACUGCCCAAGUAACCCUUUCUUCUAAGUGACCCCACAUGCUCUCCUGAGCAUGGAGCACCUGUGAAGUCAAUGUUGAAUAAGAUAGACUCAGGUAGACUAAUUCUGUGGUCUUUGCUAAUUCCACAUCUGGGUUACACAGGUAUUUGUUUACGUCUUCUCAGGCAAUGCCACCUUGGUGCACAUAUAAUGCUUUAAAGAAAAAAGAUACAGGAAUAUUGAUAAGAAUAUUUCAUUUAGAUCCUAGUUAUCAUGCUCUAUUAGCUUCAUAUGUCAGUCUGCAAUUUGCAAAAUGUAUUGAUGUUUAAUGUCUCAAUAAACAAUGUCAAGAUAGUGGCGAUACUUUAUGUCCGGCACUCUCUGCGAAAAUAGUUUUCUUUGACUCCUCCACUUGCAGCAGGCCCUCCUCUAUUCUGAGGUCAAAGAAGUUUCCUACAGCAACAUACUGAGUAUCUAGGUGGAAAGGCUUUGAUGUAACGAGGACCUGGUAUAGAUUAAUUGUAAUAGGAUGGUGUAAUGUACAAGGUCAAUGUUGUGAUGAACAGUGCCAUACAAGCAUACCAUUUCAUUUCUUAAUGCUUCCUGCCUGUUUUGGAGGACCUAGGUUCUUGGAAGAUAUGGGUGGGUGGGGGGUUGUGGCUUUUCUUCAGAGACUUUUGAAAUAACAGAAAGGAAACAGGAAACAACAGGGAAGCUCUCUCUUAUGCCCAUUCUGAUGAGACACCCAAUUUUCUGAGAGGGUGAUGAAGGUUUCCUUGUCCAAGUCUUCCUUAGGCAACAGUGGAAUUUCCUGUUCUGAUGUGCUCAUGUGUUCACAGGGGCAGACCCAUCUACAGAAUACAGGGCACAGGCAGUAUCUGCUCCUCCUCUUGGGACAGUGUAGAGCAAUGGAAAGCAUGGGAGCUCUUCUUGCCCCCUGUGUCCUGACAGAGUCAGGGCAGCAGGUCCAUGCUCUCCUGAGGGCUGGUAAAGGAGGAGGACACUGUUGGGCUCACAGGCCCCUCCGUUGGGUGGAAUACAAGAUAUGAAGGGGUGUGCAGGAGUCGGGGUGGUGGAGCACCUGGAUCCACAGGCUUGGAUGAAGUCUUAGAUCCAUGCUCACAUCUUGUGUCUGUUCUUCUAGAGUAGUUAGGGCCCCAUCUUUUCCAUUUACUUUUCUGGGGAUUCCAGUUACUUGACAUAAAACUCCAUGAUUCAAAGCCUGUCCAAAAUGUUAGAAUCUGGAGAAGUCACAGUUUACAUAUUAACUUCACAUUCAUUACCCAUGAAUGUCCCUCAAUGUUUUCUAUGGAGGAACUCAACUUUGGGGAAAUUGUAUCUGGGGAUUUAGACUUCAAUUUGCCAGGAGAAGUGAGUUGCAAUGUCAUAGGUCCCUGUGACAAUAUUUGUCUCUUCCAUGGUGUUUACUCUCAGUGCCUGUGAACAUGUGGUCAGGUAAUAUAAGAGCAUGCCCAAACUGUCCGCAUCUGCCUUUUUUGCCAUCAAAUGGCUCAUCUAGUGUGAGGUCUAGAGCAUAAUUCCCUUGGACCCAUGCUGCCUUUUCAGGAAGAUGCAAAGUCUGCAUUGAGGUUCAGGUCAUCUCUGUCUAUUUCUCAUCAACCUCUGACUUGCUGAGGAUAUUCUGGUGUUUAUGUCUGCACAGACCAAGUUAAGGCUAUGUCAGUAAUUUAUGGCUGUCACUAUUUGCACAAAUAUUUUUGCCCCUUCUUCCUGCUUGGGGCCUCCUCCAUUAUUGGUUCAAGAAGUCCCCUGCUGGAGCACACUCAGUAUUUACAUGGACCCCCUUUGUCAUUAGUAGGUCCUAGAAGAGGCUAAUGAUUAUAGCAUGGUAUAGUGAAGAAGGUCGAGGAAGUGAUGCACCAUCCGGUACUUGCCUAGAAACUCAUGGGUUCUGUGUCCUGCCUUGUCAGAGGACCCAUAUUCUUGAGACAUAUGUAGUAGGGUUUUGUCCUCAGAGACUCCUUCAGAGAGGAACAGGAAAUCACCGAUAUCUUGCCCAGUCCUUGAAGCACCAAAUUCUCUGAAUGGUUCAUGAGGGUUCCUUGUGCAAGGAUUCCUUAGAUGGCAGGGACAUUGUCAUUUCUGGUGUGCUGAUGCAGACACAAGGUGCAGACACAUCUUGAGAAUGGAGGGCAUAGGCUGUAUCUCUGCUCUUCUUCUUGAGAAUAUGCAAAGCAAGGUCAGGCAUGGAAGCACUUAUUGCCCCCUUUUUGCCUGACAGUGUCAGGGCAGAAGUCCUAUGCUAUCCUAGGGCUGGAUAUGGAGGAGGCCAAAGUUGGGGUCACUCUCCAGUCUCUUUGGUGGAAGAAGAGAAUAAAGGGGUGUAUUCAUGAUAGGUGUGGCAUAGGUCACGGAUCUCAGGGCUGACGGAAGUCUUAGAUCCACGCUCAAAUGUCUUCUGUCCCUUUUCUUGUGAAUUUUUAUUUGUCCACAUCAUUUUGCUAAAUUUUUCUUUUUUAUGGAAUGCAAUGCCUUGAAAAUAUAGAAUUCCAUCCUCAGAACCUGGCUAUAAUGUGAGAAUCUGGAUAGGUCACAGUCGAGAUAAUUAAUCACAUUUCUUUUACCCAAAAAUGUCAAUAUUUUGAAUGGAGGGCUUCUUUUACAGAAACGCUGUGGGUCUGCAGAAUUAAGUUUUCAUUGGUUAACAGAAGUGAGUUGCAAUGUCAUAGGUCGCUGUGACAAUCUAUUUCUCCAUUCCUUUCAUGCUGCUUGCUCUGAAGUGGUGGGACCCUGUGGUGAUAAAAUAAAGUAACCUGCAUAGACUCGCCACAUGUGCCUCCUGGUUCACCUAAUGUGAGCUCUGAGGCAUGAAAUCCUAGGUCUCAUGCUGCAACUUCAGUAAGGGGCGGGGUCUGCCUUGAUGGUCAGGUGAGAUGCUAUAAAUUUCACAUUAUCAUCUCCAUCUUUUCAGAUAUUCUUGCAUUUUAUAUCUGAAUGGAGAAGGUCAAGGGCAUGGUACUACUUUAUGGCUGCCACAAUUGCUGAAAAUAUUUUCUUUGCCUCUUUUUCCUGGUUGGACCCUUCUCCAUUAUUAGGUCAAGGAGUCCCCUGCUGGGGCACACUCAGUAUCUUCAUGGACCCCUUUGAUCUUAGUAGGCCCUAGAAGAGGCUAAUGCUGUUACGAUGGUAUAGGGAAGAAUGUGAACAAUGCGGUGCUCACUCCCAUACUUUCUUACCCAUUCAUGGGGUUCUGUAUCCUGCCUCUUUCACAGGACCCAUAUUCUUGAAAGUUAUAUAGCAGGGUUUGGUCUCAGAGAUUCCUUGAUGUAACAGAUCCUUGACAGGAAAUCCCUCCUUUUCUUGCCCAGUCCCUUGAAUCACCCCAUUCUGUAGGUGUUAAUAAGGGUUCUUUGUGCAAGUAUUCUUUAGAUGGCAGGGGCACUUCCUCCUCUGGUGUGCAGACACAUGGGGCAGACCUCUGUUGUGCAUGAAGGGCACAGGCAGUAUCUCUGCUCAUCUUGGGACAAUGUAAAGCAAUGGCAGGCAUGGAAGCACUUCUUCCCACACUGUGGCCUCAAUGUGUCAGGGAAGCAGGCCCAUGUUCUCCAAGGGCUGGUUAUGGAAGAGGCCAAAUUUGGGGUCACUCUUUGCUGGAAGAAGAGAAUAAAAAGAUGUGCUCAUGAUAGGUGUGGCAUAGGGCAUGGAUCCCCAGUCAUGAUAGAAGUAUUAGAUCCAUGAUCAAGUACCUCCUGUACCUGUUCUUGUAUAUUUGAAUUUGUCCCCAUCUUUGGUAUAGUUUUAUUUUUUCAAGGAUACCAAUUUCAUGGAAAUAGAAAACUCCAUGCCUCAGUGCAUGUGUACAAUGUGAGAUUCUGGAUAGAUCACAGUCGAGAUACUUACUUCACAUUUCAUUUAAUUACACAAGAAUCUUUCUUAAUGCUUUGAAUGGAGGGCCUCAUCUUUUUCCAAACUGUGAGGAUCUGGUGAUUCAGAUUUCAAGUUGCCAGUAGAAGUGAGGUUUAAUGUUAUAGACUCCUGUGACAAUCGUCUUCUUCAUCUCUUUCAUGGUGACUCCAGCAAAGGGAUGGGUCCCUGUGGUGAUAAAAUAAAGGAGCACGCUUAGACUUUACCCAUCUGCCUCCUUGCCAUUACAUGUCUCACCUAAUGUGAACUCUGAAGCAUAAAAUGCCUUGGUCCCGUGCUGCCUUUUCAGUAAGAUGUGCAGUCUGCAACGAGGUUCAGGACAUGCCUGUUUUAUUUCGAAUCAAGCUCUGAAUCUCUGAGGACAAUCUGGUGCUUUAUAUCUGGAUGUCAAGGUUCUGGCAGUACGUAAUGGCUUCAACUAUUUGCAGAAAUAUUUCUUUGCCUCUUUUUCCUGCUUGGGUCCUUCUCCAUUUUUAGGUCAGGAUGUCCCCUGCUGGAGCACACUCAGUAUCUACAUGGACCCACUUUGGCAUUACUAGGUCCUAGAAGAGGCUAAUUGGUGUAGCAUGGUAUAGUGAAGAAGGUCAAGAAGUGAUGCACCAUCCCGUACUUGCCUAGAAACUCAUGGGGUUCGGGUCCUGCUUCUUUCAUAGGACCCAUAUUUUUGAAAGUUAUAUAGUAGGCUUUCAUCUUCAGAGACUCCUUAACACAACAGAUUCUUGACAGGAAAACCCUGAUACUCUUGUCUAGUCCCUUGAAGCACUCAAUCCUCUGAGGGUUUACUUAGAGCUCCUUGUCUAAGAAUUCCUUAGAUCGCAGGGGCAUUUGCUCUUCUGGUAUGCUGAUGUGGACUCAGUGGGUAGACAAAUCUCCAGAAUGGCAGUCUCUGUGUUCCUUCUCUUGGGACACUGUAAUGUAGUGGCAGGCAUGGAAGCACUUCUUGCCACUACUGGCCUUAUUGUGUCAGGGCAGCAGGCCAAUGCUCUCCUAGGGCUGGAUAUGGAUGAGGCCAAAGUUGGGGUUCCUCCCCUUUCUCUUUGGUGGAGGAAGAGAAUAAAGGGAUGUGCUCAUGAUUUGGGUGGCAUAGGGCAUGUAAGCCCAGUAAUGACAAAAGUCUUAGACCCAUGCUCAAGUGCCCUCUGUUCCUGUUCUUUUAAAUUUAAAUAUGUCCCCCAUCAUUUUGCUGUAGUUUUACUUGUUCAAGGAUUUAAUUUCUUGCAACUAUAAAAUUCCAUACCUCAGAGCAUGUCUACAGUUUGAGAAUCUGGAUAGGUGACAGUCGAGCUAAGUACUUCACAUUUCCUCUCAUUACACAAAAAUGUCUCAAUGUUCUCAAUGGAGGGCCUUAUUUCUGGGUAAACUGUAAGGAUUUGGUGGAUUAGGUUUCUGGUUGCCAGAAGUGAGUUGCAAUGUCAUAGGUCUCUGUGACAAUCUAUUUCUGAUCUCUUUCGUGGUCCUUCCACUGAAGAAAGGGGACCCUGUGGUGAUAUAAUGGAGUAGCAUGUCCACACUCUACCCUUCUGCCUCCUUGCCAUCCUGUGGUUCCCGUAGUAUCAGUUCUGGAGCAUAAAAUCCUUGGUCCUAUGCUGCCAUUUCAGUGAGGGGCAGUGUAUGCGGUGAUGGGCUGGUGACGUCUAUGAUUUUACAUAAUCCACUGCAUCUUUUUGGGUAUUCUCGAAUUUUAUGCCUGGAUGGACAAGUUCAAUUUUUGUGGCAGUACUUUAUUGAUGCCCAUAAGUGACCAAGUAUUUUCUAUGAUCUUCCUUCUGCAACAUGCCCCCCUCCACAAUUUGGUCAAAGACGUUUCCUUCUGGAGCAUUCUCAGAAAGUAGAUGGAUCUUCUCUGAUGUUCCUAGAACCUAUUAGAAGCUCUUGAUAUUAGAAUGGUAUAGUGUUUCCACUGUUGGUAUUUGUGGCUGGAUCCUUCCAAUGAGAUAUUUCAUGACCUCUACAGUUUUAUGAUCACUAAGGCCUGUGGUUUUGUGUUGCAGGCUGGAUUCAUGGUCUCAAAUGCAUGCUGGUCAUUUGGGAAAAGUAUCAUGUAAUGAUUCCUGAGUUGUUUUUUUUCCUGUGGUGCUGGCCCUAAGGCUAGGUUUCUUGGAUGGUUCCUGACAGUACUUUACACAAUUUAAGGCUUGCAUCCCCACCUUCUUCCUGAUCUAUUAAUUUUUCAAUUAUGUAUGUUCUCAUCAUUGAACUUUGCUCGUUUGUCAGACAGGGUCGCUCAGAACUCGACAUAACUUAGAUUCCAUCAGAUACUCCCAUAUCUACACAAAUAUCUCCAAGACACUACCUGACAUACCCUUACCUAACUUUAUAAGAAACUGGGGAUAAUUCUACCCUGAUAUAAUUAUACUGAAUUUUCCUAUCUUCUACUGUUCUCACACUUCAUCUGAAUGGUUUUGAGAGAUGUCAAUUUUGAGAUAUUGGUUCUGGGCCCCAAGAGUAUUUUUCUUCCAGUUAAGAAUUUUAGAGGAAGUCAGGGAAGCACUUGCCCAGAGGUAUUCUACAUUCUGGGAGAAAGGCAGUUUGCGAGGGAUGCCCUCUAUUUGGACAGGAACGUAAUUGGAGAUAGACAGUCUAUUUACAAAAAAGAAAGGCAGUUGACAACAGAUUUCAUAUGUACAUGGAGGUAGGCAGUUGGAAAGAGAUGCUCACUGUACAAUAAAAAGGCAUUUGGAGAGAAAUGCCAAUGUACAGAUGAGAUGGCAGUUGGUGUCAAUUUUGGAUGUUCCGCAGCUCUUCUCACAAAUGUCUAGAGUUGACACUUGGAUUGUCGCUAAGUUUGUCUCACUAAUGGAGGCAUCAACCAAGGAGAUGGGAAAAUACCUGCGGAGAGAACUGCCACAUAGUAGAAGACUUACUCCCAAUUUUAGUAGUUAAGUGCCCUCUGUAUUCAGAUAUUCCAAAAUUAACCCUCCUAAUAUACAUAACCUUCUCUAGAAAUCCUUCCAUGUUCCUGUAGAAUGUUUUCCAUUAGACAGACACUGGGACCCCUGAAGACCUCAGGGAAUAUACAGGUCUGAUUUUCCUUGCCUAAGUUUAAGGGACUCAAAAUGUAUUGAGUAACUUGAGCUGACAAUUCUGACCACUCAUUUCCAAACAUUUGAAUAUAUGAACCGACUCUUUAUGGAACCAUAAUAUAAAAGAUGUUCAUUUUGAACCACAUCCCCCAUAGGCAGGCUGGGGCCUCCCUUACUCCAGCAGAAAUAGGCUUGAGGGGUUGCUGGACAAGGCAACAUCUAGUGCUCCUGUUCUCCAUGGGGCCAAGUGGCUGCAUCCUUUAUGGAGCAUGAGCUGAGGCCACAGUAUCUCAGCUCCACGUCUCAGGUUACUGCCUUACCUACUCCACCCCAGUGUACUUUAUGUAGCCUUGUUAGAACUGAGAACGGAGAGACACAACAGUAAAGAAUGGCAACUGCAGACCUCACCCAUUAGGAAUAGAAGGGUAAACUUGGUGGACAGACACAGAUGGCUCAGCAGAGUGUUUACUUUCCUCCUGCCAUUUCGGUCACAGUGAAGAGAAGGUGACUGAGGGAGGACAACAACAGGUGAGCUAGGGAUAUUUCUCAACAACAACAACAACAACAACUACAACAACAACAGCAACAACAACAACAACAACAACAACAGCAAGUGACUUUGUGAUAGGCAGAGGACUCUGAAAGUAUGGCAAGGCCUGUCUGCUAAGGCUAGGGUACAUGUAGUGGCUCUGGCAUCUUCUCAGCUGGCUGAAGAAACAGGACAUGGUUAAUGGAGGAGAGAACAGAGUUCAUGCAAGAAAGAUCCAAAUCCUCCUGGACUGGGACAGGAAAUAAACUUGAAAUUGGGACAUCUGUGUCUGUGAUGAGAGUGAAAAGACAAUAAAACCUAACUACCCCUAAAAAGGAGAGCAGAGUAUGUGGGUCUGUCUGGCAAAACGUCCAGUAGUCUUCUAGGUGGGGAGAGGGGAUUAUUGGAAAGAGAGAAAAUAAAGACUCAGAAACAAAGUUUAUCAAUACUGGGCAUAUGCACAAAAAUUCCCCUACAUACAGCAAGGAUACAUGCUCCAUUAUGUUGAUAACACCCUUAUUUAUAAAACCCAGAAGCUGGAAACAAACCAAAAGUCCCUCAGUAGAAAAAUGGAUGCAAAAAAAAAUGAUUCAUUUACACAGUGGAAUACUAGUCAGCUAUUAAAUAAUAUGACUUCAUAAAAUUCUCAGGCAAAGGGAUGGAGCUAGAAAAUAUGCUGAGUGAGGUAACCCAGUCACACAAAAAAAACCCACACUCUUUGUACUCACUGAAAAGAGGAUAUUAGCCAAAAAGCUCACAAUACCCAUGAUAAAACCCACAGACCAUAUGGAGCUAAGGAGGAAGGAAGACCAGGGUGUGGAUGCUUCAGUUCUGCAUUGAGGAGGUUACAGGAUUAUUGCAGGAAGUGGAGGAAUAAGGGGACCAGGGAGGGAGACAGGAGGAGGAGGAGGAAAUAAAGGGGCAAUAUAAGAUAGUGGAGGAGAUGGUAAAGAGGAAGAGAGGUUUAGGAAAUGGAUAAAAAUAGGUAAUAGGCAUGAUGAACUGGAGAUGGCCACCAGAGGGUCCCACAGACCAGGAAAUGAGAGGCUCCUAGGACCACUGAGAAUGGCUUUAGCCUAAAUAUGCAGAGAACAGGGAGAUAGAUCCUGAAGAGACCACCUCCAGUAUAUAGGCACAGUCCCCAAUGGAGGGCUGAGCUUGCCCAUCUCAAAGUAUUUUACCCAGAAAUGUUCCUGUCCACAGGAAGAACAAGGACAAAAAAAUGGAGCAGAGACUGAAGGAAGGGUCCUCAAGGAACUUUCCUACCUGGGAAUCCACACUGUGUGCAGACACCAAACCUGAAACUGUUGCCUUUGUCAUGAAGUACUUGCUAACAGGAACCUGGUUUGACUGAUUCUUGGGAGGCCUGGUUAGCAAUUGAGCAAUGCAGAUGUGGAUGCUUGGAGCUAACCAUCAGACUGAACUCAGGGACCCUGGUGGAGCAGCUGUCACAGGGAGUAGAGAAGGACAGGUUAUUGCAACCCAAUAGGAAGAAAAACAUUGGCCUAACAAACAACCCAGUGGUCCCAGAAUCUAGGCCACCAAAUAAGGAGUGUACAGGGAGGGAUCCAUGGCUACAAGUACCUAUUUGUCGAAGAAAAUAUUUUCCUGAUAGCAAGGGGAGGAUAUCCCCUUGGUCCUGUAGAGGUUUGAUUUCCCCAGCAUAGGGAGAAACUGGAGAAGUGGGAGAGGAUGGGAGGGUGGGCGAGCACCUUCAUAUAGACAUGGCAGAGGGGUGUGAGGGCAGAUGUGGGACAGGGGUUGUGGAGGGGUAACCUGGAAGUGAGAUAGCAUUUGAAAUGUGAAUGAAUGGAAUGCUUACUAAAUAAAAGAAAUGAAACAAAGAAAAGCAAUGGCCAGGGCUGUUGAGUCCGUACCGCACGAGUCUCAAGGUUCUCCUGGACUUGACAAUAGUUUAUAGUAUCAUGGGAAUCAAAGUCCCCAGCCCACAGAGAUGAUGACUGAUAUGUAUUCAGUAUCUCUAAGCAUAUGGAGGCCUCUCUUUUUCUUCCAGUUCCUUCCUUUAAGAUCAACAAACAUUGAUCCCAUUAACAUGAGCUUCAAGUGUGUCCCUCAUAACCUUCCAUGAAGCAGCAAAUCAGGAAAUCUGCUGGUAGACCCCGGUCUGAUUGACUCUAGCAGACAGUCAGGCAUUCAUAAAAGAAGGCAAAAUUUCUCCCCACAAGCAGGUGGGCCUUACCUCAGUAGAGUCACAAAGUUCCUGCUUGUACAGCAUCUUGUAUCCAGACAGAAAGCUAAACCGGAGCUAGGCACUAUGCUAAGAAUCAGUCUUGGGGUACGAGUUUUCCUCUUGCUUUCUGAGAAUACAUUCUCACCACUAAUCUGUGUCCCAUCCCUUGUCCAACUUUCAUGGCCCCCUGGAUCUCCCUAUGGAGUUACCACUUGGAAUGGUUGCUUUAGAUUAAAGGUCCAAGCAAGGGUGAAGACCAGAAUACAAAACAAAUCAUGGCUUCGUACUUCUCUAUAUACACAGACAGAUGGAGAGGUAUUGCAAAUAAUCUAGCAAAAGAAGACAGACUCCAAGCAGUUCAUAUGGUUACUGACCCUAUGGAUGCCUUAGCAGGUAGAGCCCAUUCCACUGAGCCCCUGAUUCAAAUUAUGCAGAGUUAACAAGUUAGAGGAACCCUGGGAAAAGCUACCAGAAGCACUGUCUUCCUAAACAGGCAGAGGCACACACACCUUUUCCUUGACAAACAGGAUAUGUCAGUCUUGUACCAGUGUGCAUAUACCUAGGGGAGGAAGCAUUCUACCUCUUCAGAUCCUAUGUUCCAUGAGGUACAAAUAAAAGGGUCCUUCCACCUGCAACCACAAAUGAGAUAUUCACUCAGAGGUCCUGUGGACCCACUACAAGCUGAAGCCGAACUCCUAGUGUCCAUCUGGAUGAGCUGAGCUCCAAUGUCCAUAAGAGAUACGACCAAGGAAAGAACCUAGAAUGUACCUUGUCCUCACGUUGGUUCAUGGCUAGACAUCUUGUCUGCAUCCACUGCAGCAUCACCAUGUCAAAUCCUAUUGUCCCUCCAUCUAGAUUGAGAGAGAGUCAUGACCACAACUUCUCUGCUCUCUGAAAGAGGCUCUGUUGGCGUAGAGUCAGGCAGCAGGCUGGCAGCAUUGAAAUUAACCGUAUUGAAUGUGGUGCUAGUCCAGGAUAACUGCCUAAUUAUUUGAGCUUUGUACUUCCACCUCUGUUGCCCCAGAGAAAGGCCAAUACAGCAUGGAACAUGGACCUUCUCUGUAAUCUUACUAACAUAGGACCAGACAUCAUUCAUCCCUGUUCCUCUCCUGGUGUCUCUGGCUUGCACUCUAGGGUCUCUCGUAAUUUUAGUAGCAUUUCUCUUACAUAGUCAUGGUUAUUUUAAACCCUUUUGAGCAGUUUCCAGUAAUCAGGUACUACUUCUAAACUCACAUCUUUUAACCAUUUUUAGAUUCUUUUCCAAGAUCUGAGGAAAUAGCAAACAACAGCAAAGUUUCCUACUAGGUCCCAUGAAUUCUACCAUGAGCUUGGCAAACACUGUCGAGGGCCUCAUGGUCCUAGUAAGUGUUGGUACCUAACCAGUUUAGAAGGAAAUAGGUCUGGAGAAAGGUGUAGGUAUAUUUUUGAGCUUGACUUUCUUGUCUAAAACAAGACAGCAACCAAAUAAUAAUAACUGGGAACCAGAGCUCACCAUAGAGGAGGGACAAAGGUCAGAUUUAUAGAGUGGGGCUGAAAACACAGAUACUGGUUUUGUUUUUCAUGAGUGGUAUGAGCAAUCCAAAAUUACCAGUGCCCUGAAAGAGGGGCAAAUAUUUAGUCAGCUGUGUUCAGUGCAGGUGUGAGUUGUCUUGCACAAGAAAGCUGCUCCUCAACACAGGAAAAGUGGUCAGUGCAGCUGGGUUAUCUUAGUCACCAGAUUCCAAAGCACUGGGACCAUUAGUUGGCUACCUGACUCCAAAACAAGGACACUGUAUUUCAGACGUGCUCUGGAGGUUUUCAUGCUAAAAAAGAGACAACAUAAGCAUGCUCUCCAGUAAAACUCCCAUGAGGCAUGUCAGACACUGCCCAACAUUGCCUGGCACUGCCACCUGUUGCCCAUUCAGUGGUGUGGACAAGAAAAAGACACCCUCCUCUGCCCUUGUACCUCACCACCUAUGGCAUGCAUAACACUUGACUCUGGUGUGACUAGAACAGGAGAGCAGCCCCUGUCAUUCACCUGCUAGAACACUCAGGAGUUCAGGUCCUUAACCUUGCUUGGGCAGCACAAUAGAUCUAGCCCUGGAUAAAUGGGCUGUGUAUGAAAAGGCCCCAAGGGUUCUGUCUCUUGUCUGCUAGGCAGUGGUGAGGAUGAUGGAGAAACCCCUCUCCCCUUAUUCAUCAUGAUGUCUGUGGCAGGCAGGAGAGCUGGCCCUGUGCUCAUGUGUAACAGACCUGGCCAUGUCCUCACUCGCUGCAAUACUCAAGAGACAGGAACUGGCGCUUCACCUGAAGAAUAGGGUGUCACUGGCCAUGUUUUCAGGGACUACAAGUUAAGCAGUCUCCUUGAAGGGUGCUAAAGCCAUCAGCCUGACAAGAUACUUCUCAGGCACAAAUCCAGGACUUUUAAUUGACACCAAUAUCUAGCUAUUGGUGAACUUCUGGAGUGCAUGCAGGGCCAGUUUUAUAGAUCUAAAAGUCCAGAAUGUCUAUGAUACAGAUAACCACCAUGACAACAAAAUGUCUGAGAAGAGGUCCAUUGAAAUUCCAGUGUUGAUAGAGUAGCUGAAGCCUCAUACCACACCAAACAACCACCAUAAUGAAAAUUUGCAGAUGAGAAGGUGUGAAUGCCAUGGUGACAUAGUAUAGCUUCCACAACAAUCAUUUUCCACUAUUAUUGGGGAAGAUGGCAUGGGGUAAGUACGGACAGGAGAGGAGAGGAGAGGGAGAUAGUGAGAUUGUGUCUUGUGAAGGGAAAUAUAUACACACACACAAACACACACACACACACAGAGAGAGAGAGAGAGAGAGAGAGAGAGAGAGAGCACACUGACAAGUGAGCAGGCGAAAUUGAAUAAUGUUAAGCACUAGAAAGAUCUUUAAAGCCAAAGUGGUAGUUAACUAGUCAAUGUCUGAGAAAUGGCGGUGUUGUUUGAAAUACAAACUCACAGUGAUUGUCAGCGUAUGCAUGAGAGUAAGCAAGCUCGUACCAGAGGGAAUCUUAUGAACAAGGAAGUGGGGAUAAGGACUGGAAAUCCAACUACAAAGUGAGAGACCAUUGGCACUUGACAGCUGCUGGGAGAGGGAAAGGCUGUUUUUGAUGCCAAACCCUGAGAGGUCAAUGAUUCUCCAACUCACACUUCAUGACUGAGAUUAGUUGGGUAACAAAAACUGGACCUGAUCGAGAGAUAUGAAGGUAAAGGGAGAGGAGGAGGGAGGGGGAAAGGGAAGGGGAGGCAGAGGAGGAGCAAAACAGGGAAGGGAGGGAGAGGGAGAGGUUGAAGAAGAGGAGGAGGAUCAGAGGGGAUGAAAAGGAGAGUGAGACUGGUCUUCAGUCUGGACAAACCAACCUCUGUUGACUAGUUUUGUUCUUGAUGCUUCCCUAGGACACUUUCAGAGGCACAGUGCCAUUACCUAUACUCAGCUGGAGCCCUGUUUUCUACAUCUUCUGACUCCUGGAUCCCCAAUGGCUGUGACUGAUAGGGCACACAUGGGAUUAAUAGGGGACUAAGGGGCAUUUGAGGACUCCCAUCACUGAAGAAGGGUUCAUCGUUUCUCAGAACUGCAUUCACGGCUGUGAUUUAAUAGAGCUCAUUGAUGACAGGUUGAGUGUUUUCAGCUUUGCAGUGUGCCUAGCAUUAUGUCUUCAUCUGCAUCAUGACUGUGAUCCAUAUGUAAUGUCUCACUAGGAAAUAUUUGAUUGCAGAAGAAGGAAACCACACUAGCUGUGUGUAAUUCUUGUUCCCAGUGGUUCAGCUUUUAUCCAUACUUAGAGGAUCAGAACUUGUAAGAUGCUCAACCACAGGUGCAGAGACCAUCACACCCAGUUAGCACAGUGUCUGGUAGGGGAAUCCACCUAGAGAUGUAGAUUCACAGGUCACCUCCACCACUGAGGCUCUAGUCAGGACCCGGAGCUGAUUUACCUUAGAUUCAGUUGAAGGAGAUGGGGGAGGGGACAAAAAUCACAGGAAGAGUCUGUGGUCUGAAAGACUUGCUUUCUCUGAAAAGUGUGGCAGGCAUUGGUAAUACUUAUGUGACUUGGAAAGGAGAGUAGACACAUGACUAAUGGAAUGACUCUAGAGCUGAUAGGGAAUUCUGUGACUUCCAUUUCUCCUUCUGUGAGAAAAUAAUGAAGCCUUAAAUAAUGAAUAACUUAAGGAAUGGUUUGUCCUGGCUCAGAUAUAAUUAUGAUAUAGUAUCUCAAGGUGGGAAAAGCAGGGUAUUAGCAGAAAAAGCAACUGAUUUCCCUGUGUUCAUGGUCAGGAAUCCCAGGCAGCAGAUGCUUGAGAAUCUUGUUGCUUUCCCAGUUUGAUGCAGCUGGAAAUAAACCCCAAGGAAAUGUUCCAAAAAUAAUGCAGGAUGGACCUUAUGUUCCUUAGAGAAAAACAUCUCAAAAACACAGAUACUUGCCCAAAUGUUUGCACCUAAGCGCCUGUCACAGUCACCAAGAAGGUUGAUUUCUGGGAAGCUAAGGAGCCCAUAGAAAGAAGUACUUUACGUUCAGAAAGUUUAUUGUUUGAUCAAGACAAAUGCUGACCAAAAAAGGAGCUGGGAGGACACAGAGCACAGAGCUUGGAAAUUGCGUGUGUUUGUUUGUACUUGCAUGGCAAAUGGAGGGGCACUAUUGGAGGUGUGUGCUUGUUGGAAUACGUGUGUAACUGUAUGCGUGUGUUUGGAGAUUCUCCUCCUAUCUGCCUGGAAGGAGUUUUCCGUUUGCCUUUGGAGCAUGAUGUACAACACUCAGCGCCUCAACUGCGCUGCCUGUCUAGAAGUUGCCUAACUUCCCACCAUAAUGAUUUGGACGGAAACUCACAACCAUUGAGCCAGCCACAAGAAAAUAUUGUACAUGACAAGGCAGUAAUAUAUUACCUUUGUCAUGGCGUGUUUUUACAGUAGUAGAAAUUCUAACAGAAAUUGCAGGGGAAGUAAGCAUCAUCUCUUUCCAAGGGAAUAAAUUAUUGAGAGAUGCAGAGUGGAUCACAAGUAGAAGGCUGCUGUGUCGCUCUCUCUCCUUUGCACACAGUUGAAGGACUGUCAAACCUGCAUAGCUCACACUGAAAAAUUCCAGGAAACUCCCCAGUGCAUCCAAGUAGGGAGAAGACAAGGCUGAGGAGAGCAAGGAGAUGCUGCCAACGCAAGCAGGAGGAAAAGUAGAAAGGAGAAGCCAAAAUCGAAGACAGAAGAAGCAACGAAAGGAAUGGAAAAGACUUGUUCCUCCAAAGCAAAAGCAGUGAAAGAGAAAGGGCCUUCUGAAGUUGAUGUGUGUUCUGCUAAAUCCAACAAGGCCAAGAAGGAGGAUGAGCCUCAAGACCACAAUGCUUGUAAAAGCAAAACAUCCCAGAAGAAAAGGAGUCCCUUGAGAAGAAAACAGCCAAUGGGAAAAAAAUAAAACAGAGACAAAAACCAGGAAGUUUCUGAAGCAGAGGCAGACAUGCCCAAGCCCAAGGAGAAGAAAGGGAAAGAAGUUAAUGAGACAUGGGAGAGAAGAGCCCAGGCUCAAGAAUGUCCUCUCCCAUUCCGAACCAAACUCCAACUCCAGGGAUGCUCCUGGGGAAGAAAAUAGUAAUGAGAUAGAAAAGGAAAUACUCAUGGAGAAGAAAGGAUUCUCUCUAAUUUUCCCAUACGCGAAGAGACUGUCAAGCUUCUCAAAGCUCAAAGCUUGAGGGGUGAACUACCCGUUUUUUCUAAAAGCCAAGACAUUCCAUCAUGUAUACAGUGAGACAGACUUCAUUGCCCAGGCAUGGACAGUAAGCAGGAAGACCUUCUCCUUUGCCAUCCCUUUGACUGGGUAACUUAAAGGUGGACUUCAAGAGAGGAAGAGAGGCCAAGCCAAUCAGAUACUAGUGCUGCACCUACAAGAGAAUUAGCAAAUCAAAUGAGCAAAGACUUCAGUGACAUCAAUAAAAGUAUCAGUGUUUUUUAUGGUGAAACUCCCUAUGGUGGUCAACAAGAACAAGUGCAGAGUGGGAUAUCCUGGUUGGGACCCCAGCUCGUAUUGAGGAUCACUUGUGGAAUGGCAAGCUAGAUCUCACCAACCUUUAACAUGUUGUCCUAGAUGAAGAUGACCAGAUGUUAGAUAUUGGUUUGAAGAUCAAGUGGAAGAAAUUUUAUGUAUAGCAUACAAGAACGAUUCUGAAGGCAACCCGCAAACAUUGCUUUUUCUCUGUAAUCUGCUCUCAUUGAGUAUUUAAUGUUGCUAAGAAAUACACAAAACCAACAUAUGAACCGGUGGACCUGAUUGGAAAAAGACUCAGAAAGCAGCCUUAACUGUGGAGCACAGGAGACAGAGAGGACAGUGGUGAGUGGGGAUGUGUUCCGAGGCUACAGUGGUCAUCAAGGGGACAUGUUCAACUUCUGUGAAACCAAGAACAGUGGCAGGAGCUGUCACAAAAAACAUGCAUAAAGCAGGAAUGCCCAGUCCUUACAUGGGGACAUUCUGCAGAAGCAAAAGGAAAUCACCCUGAAACGUGCUGAAAUGGCAAUUUCGUGGGUUUACUGGCUGCAAGUGGGUUAGACAUCCCCGAGGUUGACCUGGUUGUUCACAGCUGUACACCAAUGGAAGUGGAGUCUUUGAUCUUUCAAUAAGAAGAGGCAGAGCUGGAAGGAUAGGGGUUUGAACUGCUUUUACCAAAGAAGAGUACCAGUUACCCCAGGUGGAGUGGAAACCCAGCACUAAAUUUGAGUGGAUAGGUCUUCCUUCUGAAACAAAUAAUGAAAGCCUCCAGCAAAGAUGCCAUCAGACUAUUGGACACUGUGUCCCCACUGCUGUUGGCCAUUUCAAGUGGUCAGCUGAGACGCUGACUGAGGAGAAAGGAGCUGUAGAGACCUGGUAGCUGCUCUAUCUCCACAGAUCAGGGGCCACAUCGGUCGACCAGUGCUCCCUGAUCCACUGCCCAGCAGCCUUUGAGACCAUGUAACUGCAGUGCUUUGUUGAGAUGUCCAACUGAGCUAUGCUUGGAAGGAACUUGAGGAGCAGCUAGGCAAGAACAUCGAUGCCAAAAUAAAGGGGAUGGUCUUCCUCAAAGGAAAACUGGAAGUUUGUUUUGAUGUCUGCACUGAAGCAGACACAGAAACACAGGUGAAGUGGCACGGUUGGAGAUGCUGGCAGCUCACCGUGGCCACUGAGGAGCCAGAGCUGAAAGGACCCCCAGAAAGAUAUCAAGGGGGCAGGGGCAGCAGAUGGCAGCCAUGGUGAUUUCAUGGGACAGCAGGGUGGAAGCAGGAACUUCCUGGAUCAGGGCAGGGACAGCAAGGAGGAAGUAGAAACUUCAGAGGACAAUGACCAAGAGGUGACAACAAAAGGUACCAGAUCCACAAUCAAAGGCCAGAAGUGGAGUUUAUAGUAAAGUAUUUGGUCAAUGAGUAGAGCCAAGAAGAAACUCUUCACAAUGGGCACCCCAGGGUCCCUCCUGCUCUCAAAGUCCCCAGUGCUUCAUUCCUUUUAGAUGAUUUACCAGCUCCCCUUCCUUGCAGAGAGGUUUCUGACCUGUCUGAGUAACCGUCAUUCUGUCUUCCUUUUGGAAAGAAAUAGGAAUGGAUGGAUGAAUGAGUGAAUGAAUGAAUGAAUGCAUAAUGUGAGGACGACAAAGUAAUCGAUCUGAUAUUGGGCCCUCAAUGCACUUCCCAGGUGCUGCUCCUCUAACUGGAGUCUCAGGAGCCAAUAGAGCAGCUGGGGAGGUGAUCAAAUCUCUCUCAGGUUGCAGCUUUAAUGCACUUCCCUGUGCAGCACAGUACUGCCUGUAAUUGCUAAACAGUAAAUAUCUGUCUCUUUGAUCUGCUGAAGAAGAAGCUCAGAGAGGCUAGUUUCCUUUUCACAAGAAUGGAAAGUUCCCUGAGGCCCAGAGUGGAGACAGCCACUAUGGUUUACAGCCUUGUCUGUUUGGUACAUUUCAUGCUGUGACCUCACAAAGAACCACUUGGAUGUAAGAAUGAGUGUCCUCUGUAUAAGACAGUGGACCAGCCUGUUGAAUUUGUCCAUAAGGACCGGGGAGCCGGUUAAUGUUGACCUGUGGGACUCCUUGAUAGCUGUGUAUUUUGUUAGUUGACGAGUUAUUGUACCUCACAACUUGUGUUCACCAGAUCACAGGGAUGGACAUCACUUCUAUUAAGAAGACUUUGGGCAGUCAGUAUAAGGUGGUUUUCUUUCUUGGACAGGGUUCAUAUGGCAGGGUGAGAUUGGCCUGGCACCGGAGAACGCAGGCCCUGGUUGCCAUCAAAACGGUAGAGAUCUGUAAGAAGACCAUCAGGGCAAUCCUGUCCGAAAUGACCACUUUGGAGUUACUGCACCAUCCAAAUAUAAUUUCCCUCUUCCAGAUCCUGGUUACAGCGAACCAGAUUCAUUUUAUUUUACAAUAUGCUCCAGGAGGCAACUUAGUAGAACUAAUAAGUGAGGAGGGCCCGCUGCCAGAAGAAAAGGCGAAGAAAAUGUUCGGACAGAUCGUAUCUGCGAUAAGAUAUUGCCAUAGUCUGGACAUUGUCCAUCGUGACAUCAAGCCACAGAAUAUACUGAUAGAUGGAGAGGGCAAUGUUAAGCUGAUCGACUUUGGCCUGGCAGUCAAAUGCAGACCUGGUACAUUACUGAGUAGGCACUGUGGAACCAGGGGCUUUAAUGCCCCUGAACUGGUAUUACAGCAGCCAUAUGAUGGCAAGAGUUCUGAUGUGUGGAGUUUGGGCGUACUCCUAUAUUUCAUCACCACUGGCUACUUUCCCUUCAGAGGAAACACCAUCAAUGAGAUUGAGCAAAAGAUUACAACGGGGACCUAUACCGUUCCACAUCACCUGUCUGGGCAACUCGAAAACCUGAUACAUCAAAUCCUCACGGUUUCCCCAGAGAUGAGGCCCUCUAUAGAGGAAAUUGAAAAUCACCCAUGGAUCAAGAAAUGCGAGUUUAAAAUCCCGACAAUGACUGACCCAGAUUACAAAAUUAUAGAAAUGCUCUGUGCGAUGGGGUAUAAUGCCAAUGACAUCUUGGAAUCCCUCCAAAAGAAAAGAUACGAUGAACCAAUGGGGGCAUAUUUGAGCUUAAAAUAUCAUGUAAGCAAAGGGUAUGAUCUUGGAUAUAUCACUCCAGCCAAGCCUGGGGAUCCGUGCCCUCCGCCACCCCCAUCACCAGCACAUCCCUCUGUCUUUGUCCUUCCUCUCAGGAGAAGGGCCAGUGAACCCAUCUUUGGCCACCACAGACCUCCCUCAAGAGAACAGAAUCCUCUUGACCUGAUUCUAUCAGGACUCAAGAUGAGCAGGUGUGUCUCCAUGCCUCCCAUUUCGGUAUACUAUCCUAAGAAGGAGAGAAGCACUUCUACCCGUGCCCUCCACUCAACACCUGUGGCCUCCCCAUGUGUCUACAACAACAUGUCGGGAGUUGAAAUAAUCCUGCCACCUAAGCAGGACAUUGAGAUGAAUACGUCAUCUCCCCCUCAGACGAUGGGAUGGUUUAAGAGACUCCGCAAAGGAAUCAGAGACUGCAUUUCAAGACUUUGCUGCCUCCCUCGGGCUCCAAAGAAAAAAACCCAGCAUAGAUCCUCCAAGAGAGUGGCCCCCCUGAAAAAGGCAGCAAGCAGUACCAUAUAAAAGGCUCUCACAGUCUUGAAGGUCCACACAUGGAAAAGACCUGAGGGGUGCACUCUCCUGACUCCUGAGGAUUGGAAAGGACAAGAUAGUGAAGAGAUCAGUGGGAAAGAACAGAGUCAACAGACCCGGUGAGAGAGAAACCCAACCGCCUGGUCAGGUGGGCACUCCUGAGGCUGCAGAGCGGAAGAGACCACCAACACAGCUCACCCCUGCCCACAUCCCUGGCCCAAGAGGAAACUGUAUAAGGCCUCUGGGCUCCCGUGGGGGAGGGCCCAGGAGCGGCAGGACCCCGCUGGACCCUGAAGGAAACAGACCGGAUAAACAGUUCUCUGCACCCAAAUCCCUUGGGAGGGAGAGCUAAACCUUCAGAGAGGCGGACAAGCCUGGGAAACCAGAAGAGACUGCUCCCUGCACACACAUCUCGGACGCCAGAGGAAAAAGCCAAAGACCAUCUGGAACCCUGGUGCACUGAAGCUCCCGGAAGGGGCGGCACAGGUCUUCCUGGUUGCUGCCGCUGCAGAGAGCCCCUGGGCAGCACCCCACGAGCAAACCUGAGCCUCGGGACUACAGCUUCCCUCCUGCAGAUAAUGGUGCAUUUGAGGCCAGGACAUUCAUGGAUUCCUGAGUACAAGGAAAGUGGCUCAUUGUUGCUAAGGAUCCCAACUCAAAUUAGCAACACCGGACUGAAAACACAAACUAAAAUCCUCCUACCUGAGCAAGGUAUGCAGAAAAAAUGAGAGACUGCUGUUUUCAGGGACAAGUGUCCAUAUGGAAUCUAUAGUGAUGAUCUAUGCCUGGCAGAGGAACAAUGGUCAACUAUCUAAUGGGCCCCCUCAAAGUCUCCCUGCAUCUCAGAAGAACACCAAUGUCCAGAGCUCUGUGAUUCCUGUAUCACUGUGGAGCAUCUGCCAAGAAUGGACACCAGCAUCAGUAGACCAGGGAGAGACUGGUUCCCACACUUUAGUUCUGCACGCCCAAACAGUAAAACAACAUCCUAUCCCCUAAUGAGGUAUGUACAUAAUGAUAGAGGAUUCUCCACACAAACUUGAUUUACAAGAACAGGGCCUCUUUGGUAGCCACCCAAACCAUCUGAAAUCAGGCAAGAAGACGUGAGCAGUAGCCUUUGAUCCCUGUACCUCAAGACCAAAUAACACUCAUUCUGAUAGGAUACAUGAGCUGGUCCUCGUUUAUCUUCAUUCCCCAAUUCCUUCUAUCUCCUAUCCGCAUGAAGACCUUUCCUUCCCAUGCUCUGAUCGAAUCUUGUUCCGCAAUUCAUGGAACACAUUUGAAAGGUCGAUCUGAACUUCCAUGUCCUCAUUGUCCGUAUGGACCUUCAGGAUGGACAGUCUCUGGAAGAUCCUGUGACAGCUGCAGGAUGGGCUGAGCAGCUGUGUUUGUCCAUAUCUACGGCAGAAGCACUUGAGCCAAUAGACUACCUAACAGUGCCAUCCUGCCCUUAACAAUGAAGUGAGGAUUCCCCUGUCUCCAUGUGAACCAACCUGCCUACCUCAACACUGUGCUAAUGUCGCUGCGGGAACACUAAGGACAUGAGGACUAUGAGAGUAGGAUGCUGGGUGCAAAAAAACAAUGAGUUCCCUUUAAUACUGACUAAGAUGCUCAGGCCUCAAAGGAGGUGGACUGCAAGGGUGAGAGCUGAGGGUUCCUUCUGGAUAUGAGUCAACACCAGCAUGCAGGAAUCCACCAGGAUUGGACAGACGAUGCAUCUGACCGGAAGAGGGGAGUAGUAAGUUUCUGGCAUGCACGGAAAGAUCCCUCACUCUGUGUAAUUACCCAGGAAAUGAAAUAGUCUUGUCUAUGUGGACAUCGGUGCCCAAAUGAGAAAAAUAGUGUAUAUAUCCUGACCACUUAAAAGUCAUGCUUUUUCUGAGAGAACCUCUGAGCUCGAAAGACUGUGAAAUAGGAUGUCUGCCUGUACCAGAAUCUUUCCUGAGUGGAGAAUUUUAUCAGGAAGAAAGAGGCCCAGAGCAUGUACAUAUGUUGAACUCUUGAAGGGCACCCAGUUUGAAAGAGAACAUCAAAGGCCUGAAUCACUGUGAAACAUGCUGUCUGCAAGUACUAGAACACUUCCUGAGAGCAAGGGACACUGCCAAACCACUAGAGGCCAAAAGUUAUGAUGGAUAAAGAGACAGGUGUUCUGGUGACCUGUAAGCCCAUCAGGAGCCCCAAGGGUCACCUCCUGCUAAACCAAACAUAACCUUUAUCAGUGAAGGUCACUCCUGAGAAACCCUGUUGAGAAACCCUGCAGACAGGAAAGCCAAGGAGGCCUCCUCCUUCCCAUUGUCAUUGUCUUUUAAGGGAGCUUGAACAGGUUAGCUCCUACAGACUUCUUAAACUGCCUGGAACACUCUGCUAAUUCUGUUUCCUGUACUCUUCAACUGAGUCAAGAGAAGAAAACAGAUAUUUGGAACUCUGAUCCAAUCAAAUUAAUAUUCUGGUGAUCAGAAGCCAAGACUGUACAGAGAUUUCUGAGGCCUCUCCAGGAAUUCUGUCCAGAAUCCAGCUCUGGAGGACUUCAGUGUGCGAGAAUGUGAGUACGUUGGAUGGACUCUGGGGUCUAAGGAAUGAAGUUUGUCCUCAUUAGGACAAAAAGAUACAAGAGGAACGCCCGAGUACAUAUAGAACACAGGGUGCCAUGAUGUGGAGCCCGAAGACAAGGGAGGCUGCUGAACACUCUAAUGCCUGUAUGAGUGAAUUUCGACAUGAACAGUGUAGCUGGAUCUGUUUGCCUUCAGUUCAAGCUGCAAUGUUGUCACCAUCUCCUCUUAAAGCCCAUGUAUCCUUGACAAGGUUGUUCUGCCCUUCAAGCUCAUAUGAUGGUUGGGCAUGUAGGAGACCUAGCCUUCUGUCACCAAGGAAACAGAAAGCAGAGGAGGAAUGCGACUGUGGGAGGCUGCAGGCAAAAGUGAUGCGGGGCCAAAAAUGUACCUGGAAGCUACAUGGUACAAUCCCUGAGGCCCUGUUCAGUCCUUCAUUCUAUUCUGGUGUCUUCCUAGUGACAGCCCUGCUAGCGAAUGACAACUUCUCCCUGACUCUUCCCCAGCCUUGCUUCCCAGUCCUGAGACUUGAAGAGCACAGAGGAGGGCCUCUGUAGGUCAGUCACUGGCUCUGGACCAUUGACCACUACCACUGCUUUUACUUGGGAUGGUGUUCAAAUUGUGGGAUGUCUGAGAAAGCUGGGUUCCACGUUUUGCUAUGCAACCUGUUCCUCACAUCCUGGACUUUGCCGGCUCCAGUCCUCAGUUGCCAUUCAGUAAGCAUUGUGACGUGUAAGGCUCUCAGGAGAAGCCAGAUCCCAGUGGCAUUAGUGUGACAAACAAGCUGUGCCCAAGUUGCUGACACUCUGGCAGAGUCCAGGACAUCCAGGAAGACAGAGGUGGUGAGUGAAAUGAUGUUCUCCACGCAGAGCACAGACCCUGGGAGUGUUGGGUAUUGCUACCUGCCAAAGGCCUGAAGUGUGCACUACUGCUGUGCUGGUGGUGGGAUUGUCAGAAGAUGAGGAGGCCAUCCUGAUAGAGACAGUGUAGGAAUCCCAGAAACAACAGCCCAUGUUGCUGCAUGUGGCUAACCAUCGUUGAUUUUGCAUGUCAGUUUCUAAGCCGAUAUCACCAACUAUGACUCUGACAUCCAAUGAAGCAGUCGAGGGCCAUGAUGCUUUUCUGACUGAAGCAACACAGCCUGGAGCCCAAAUCCCGAGGCUGUGCACCAAAGUCUUUCCCUGUUUGUCACUGGUACUGCUGCUAUUGAUUUAAAAAUCUAGUUCAAUAUGGGAAAAAUACACUUUACAAUCUCCUGGAACAUUCUGUCUCAGAGAGGACCGUGUCUACACUUCAAAGGAAAGACCAGAUCCUGGUGCUUUCCCACAAGAAGUUGCUCAAUGUGGCUACCAGGCAGAACAAACAUAAGCCGGUGUCUGCAGACAGGAGGGCACCAACAAUGUGUCAAGCAACCUCAUUUGCAUCGUCACAAGCAUCUGCAGUAUGGAUAUAUGAUCAACAUGGUCGUUUGACAGUUGUGGAGCCCCUCCCACCAAUAAAGCUUUUGUAGGUGAAGAACCCGAAGGAUCUGAGGCUGUGCCAGUACAUGCUGGAGAAAUACUUGACUGGACUCGGGAGUAGGAGCCUAGGCAUUGGCCCACAGAUGUACUGUUCUCCUUUGGAUACCCGUCGCAACAACACAAUCUUCUCUGUCUACUGGAGUUGUCUUGGUUGUAGAUUUGGAGAUCCUCAAUCUCUCAGCUUAGUUCUCUAAUGUUAAGUCAUGUCGACUCUUAGCAUAGUACUUUAUUUGCCACUGUUCUUUCUACCUUUAUUUUUCCAGAAUUUUCUAUGGGUAAGUUAUUCCAUCUAUAACACUUUAUGAUGUGUAAGCCCACACGAGGGUACCCAAAGCCCAUACACAAUGUACUCUUAUUUACCUGAGAAGUCCAAGCCAGUAACCCCAAUCUUAACUCAGUGGUGAGAAGGAACUUAAAACUUAGAACAGGACUUGUUUUCAUUCCUUUCUUGUUAGUAUCAUUCACAACUUCUGUAGAAGUUGGGAGUCCAGAAAGCAAAGGGCGGGAUUUUCUCACAUGAUCUUGACCCAUGUUGGGUUUUCUGUCUUCCAUCUCCACCUUUAACAUUUAAUAUACCACAUCUCUCCAAAGGUCAUGCCUAUUCUAGUGUGCUGCACUCAGUGACGAAGUUGGAGCAAGUGUCAAAAGAGUGAAGGCCAAGCUCUGACUGUGACAGAGAGUUUGAGAUGGACAAAUGAUGCUUUGAAAAACACGUGACUUCUCGCUGGGACCUCCAUCUCCUGUAAAUAACCAACAACCUGUUCAAGGAUCAAUGUGCCUCUGACAUGAGGACAACAAGGUAGAAGGGAGUCCUCAGAAGGAAACGGGUCUGAGGGCUAACACCGUAAUGCUUCCAACUCUGUCUUCUAGGCAUCACUAACAAAUCUAUAUAGUCCUACCUCCCAGAAGAUGAGUGAAGGUGUUACAGUUAGGAUGAUUGUUGACAUGAGGCUCUCAGAGGUUCACCACAAAUCGGAAGGACAAGAUUGAGAUUGCCAUUCAUAUGGUCUUUCCAUAGUCUCCCCUUGCAAUCAGAAUUGACCAUCACUAUGGACCUCAUCUAUUAGAUGCAGGAUGUCUAGCAAGCCUCUGGACAGGCAGCAUGGCAGAAAUCAACUCUUUCAAAAAAAAAAAAAACAAAAAAAAAAGGCUGCUGAUGACACAGUGGAUAGAGCACACACAAGCUCCCUGUCAGACUCCCUCAACUCCUGCAUGUCUCCUUGGCUAACAUUUCAGAGCUUCUGAUCCUUCAGACAUCAGCUUCUUGAUACUGAAGAGAUUGUUCUACCUGAUGAGCCCAGGCCUAGAAGAUGGACUACAUCCAAGAAGCCUGGCCCAUCUAAGGCCAAGUCACAUCUUUAAGAAAUAUUUGAAAGCAUGUGUGCACAGGAUAAAGGUGCAAGGACCAAAGUCUCCUCAGACUUUCCAGCAUUCAGAGGUUCUGACAGACUCAGGUCAAAGGUUACGUCUGAAGCCUAGAUCAUGAAGAAGGCCCCACUCCACAGGAGAAGCCUGUGGCUGAUGCUGUUGCAACCAGGACUAUGAUUGUGAAACUUGUGUCUGUGGAUAACAGAUUCACGAAUCUUGUGCCCAGGUAUCCACAGGCCUUUUUUCAUACAUUCCUUGGUAUAACUUUGCAAGUCCUGACUUUGGAAGUGUUGGGUCCUUAUGCUAUCUCACUUGACAUAUAGUCCAAGAAAGAUUUUUACCCCUUGAAGGGGCUGGAAAUAGACUGGACUCACAGUUACCAUUAAAACUGAAGUUCUGUC